UGGGGAAUAUUGCACAAUGGGGGAAACCCUGAUGCAGCGACGCCGCGUGAACGAAGAAGGUAUUCGUAUCGUAAAGUUCUGUCCUAUGGGAAGAUAAUGACAGUACCAUAGAAGAAAGCUCCGGCUAAAUACGUGCCAGCAGCCGCGGUAAUACGUAUGGAGCGAGCGUUGUCCGGAAUUAUUGGGCGUAAAGGGUACGCAGGCGGUUUAAUAAGUCGAAUGUUAAAGAUCGGGGCUCAACCCCGCAAAGCAUUGGAAACUGAUAAACUUGAGUAGUGGAGAGGAGAGUGGAAUUCCUAGUGUAGUGGUGAAAUACGUAGAUAUUAGGAGGAGUACCAGUAGCGAAGGCGACUUUCUGGACACAAACUGACGCUGAGGUACGAAAGCGUGGGGAGCAAACAGG
rnacentral:rRNA from 1 species